AGCGCAGGUGGGAAUGUAAGUCAAUCUUAAAAGUGCGGGGCUCAACCCCGUGAUGGGAUAGAAACUACAUUUCUUGAGUGCAGGAGAGGAAAGUGGAAUUCCUAGUGUAGCGGUGAAAUGCGUAGAUAUUAGGAGGAACACCAGUGGCGAAGGCGACUUUCUGGACUGUAACUGACACUGAGGCUCGAAAGCUAGGGGAGCGAACGGGAUUAGAUACCCUGGUA
rnacentral:rRNA from 1 species